AGGGCACAGCGCAGAGGCUCCAGAAGACCCUUGGAUCCCUUCUCUGAGGCUGUGUACGAGGAGAUUGAUUAUAACCUGAUGAGAGAGAAGCAGGAGAUGUUCAGUCGCUCAGUCUCCUAUUCAGAUGACUCAGUGAUAAAGCUGCAGUAUUACACCGGG